UAUAGAUGAGUUAAGCCCUCUUUUCCCCCAGGUUUCGGCCCACAUGUUACUAGCUCUAACCAAACCGGACUGAUUAUUACAAACACAAACCAUAUCCAAGAUAAUGCCCCUUAUCCCCAAUUGAAGACAUCCCAACCUCAAUCAUUGCAAAAUACACCAGAAAAGCCAUCUAAACUUCAACCACCUCAAACCACUCCACCACAACCUUCCCAAGAAAAAAGCUUCAAUUUGAACCCCACACUCAAAAGAAAGGUGCCAAGGCAGGAGGUAGAUGAUCAUACCAAAAGAAUUAGAUUGGAAGUUCACGCCGCUGAGGAAAGUGGUGUUGCUCCUGAGGUGUGCCCAACGUUUCUUUGGGGAAACUCAGAAUGGUAAGUUCAACUCAUCAGGCAUUUGCAAGUCAGAACACCAAGUCUUACAGAUUAAUUAGCUAUAUCAUGGGAAUGGAGCUUGCCUUAUCGAUAGUGAUUGGAGUUUUAUGCUAAAUUGGGAGACUUACAUUACUAAUGGUUGGUGACUCGAUCUUGCUAUGUUCAAUGAGACCUUAAUUAAUUCUAUUGGAGGUUGGUCACUUGAGGUUUGUUAGCCUUAGGCAUGGUAGACCUAGACUCGAUAUUAAGAUUCCUUAUCCUUGAUAAGAUUGUGAUUUUGUGUAAUCCAAGAGUUUUGUAAUAUAUAUUCAUGUAUUAUGUGGAAGCACAUGAUUUUUAGUUUUUGUUCGUAAAUGUGUUAUAGAGCUCUGACUUGUAAUGUGGAGAUUUAUGGUUA